UAAUAUUAUCUAGUCUGAAACAUGCUAUGGUAUAUGAGCAUGGGAUACCAGUCAGUUGCCAUCCCCUGCAGUCACACCUUGACACAUUGAUAUCAACCACAUGCAUUUCAUCCCUAUCUUUCACUGAAAAGAUUCCUCCACCAGAAGGAUUUACAUCAACACAACUUGAAUAAUCAGCAUGUCUUUCUACCUUCUUCCAUACUUUGGGACAGAUUGUACCUUUCGACUUCUCAAUAGCCUCUUUUUUCUUUGUGUAGUACCUGUUCAUAAGCUGGCAUCUUAUUUUCUCAAACAUUGUGAGAAUGGGCAUAUCCACAAUAACACAAGUAACAAUUAGUGGACAGUAAUGGAAGAACCGAAUUGAAAAGAAUGGAAUUAAUCAUAUAUGACCUUUUGCUUGUCAAUCACAAUUGUAUAUGGCACAGUGUUGAGAUCAUUCUUGAAUGUGCUCAAGAACCAUUUCCAUGUGCUGGUCGACUCAACUUCACAAACUGGUCUUCUCUAGUCGACUGCUUCCAACACUAUACCCUCUCCCCAAAUCCCCUAAUCUCUUGCACUCUCACUCCAAAAUCCCUCAAAUCUAUUGCUCCUGUGAAAAGGUCACCAUCACAUCCCGACAACGCCGUUGUUGUGCUUGUGCCUCAUAGUAUUCCACCAUCAUUGCUCAGCUAGUUGCUCCAUUCACUACGCCUUCCCGUGCAUCAGUCUAAACUUGGUACACCACUCCGACUCCAAAAAAAACAUGUCCCCUAAUAGCAAUUUAAGUAAGCCCCCUAAACAACGCCUCCAAGCGGUUAUUGAGGCAUGAUGCCAAUAAACUAGGUACACCAUGGCCAUAUUAGAAACCCAAAAUAUGAAGGCUCAGCUCCCAAUGGAAAUUUCCCCAUAGCCACAACCCUGGAUGCUCUCUGAAUACUCUCCAUCCACGAGGUUUUAGCAUAGGAGUUAAAAUUCAUGAUCCUUCCUUGCGCAUGUCGGCCAUCCACCACUCUCGCCCUCCCUCCAAUUGCCCUCCCCGCACUAUCACCUCCAUACUCCCGCAUACGACCCAUCUGCUAUCCUCACUCCUCCCCCGCUCCUUUUUC
rnacentral:lncRNA from 1 species